GACGAACGCUGGCGGCGUGCUUAACACAUGCAAGUCGAACGGAAAGGCCCUGCCUUUGUGGGGUGCUCGUGUGGCGAACGGGUGAGUAACACGUGAGUAACCUGCCCUUGACUUUGGGAUAACUUCAGGAAACUGGGGCUAAUACCGGAUAGGAGCUCCUGCUGCAUGGUGGGGGUUGGAAAGUUUCGGCGGUUGGGGAUGGACUCGCGGCUUAUCAGCUUGUUGGUGGGGUAGUGGCUUACCAAGGCUUUGACGGGUAGCCGGCCUGAGAGGGUGACCGGCCACAUUGGGACUGCGAUACGGCCCAGACUCCUACGGGAGGCAGCGGUGGGGAGUAUUGCGCAGUGGGCGGAAGCCUGAUGCAGCAGCGCCGCGUGCGGGAUGACGGCCUUCGGGUUGUAAACCGCUUUCGCCUGUGACGAAGCGUGAGUGACGGUAAUGGGUAAAGAAGCACCGGCUAACUACGUG
rnacentral:rRNA from 1 species